rnacentral:rRNA from 1 species
UACGUAGGGGGCGAGCGUUGUCCGGAGUUACUGGGCGUAAAGGGCAUGCAGGCGGUCGUACGCGUUUUGUGUGACAGCGGGUGGCUUAACUACCCGAGUAUGCGAAAGACGGGAGAACUUGAGGGCUUCAGAGGGACACGGAAUUCCGGGUGGAGUGGUGAAAUGCGUAGAUAUCCGGAGGAACACCAACAGCGAAGGCAGUGUCCUGGGAAGUACCUGACGCUCAGGUGCGAAAGCCAGGGGAGCGAACGG